rnacentral:rRNA from 1 species
GGAAUGCGACUUCGGUCAAAUGACUUUUGAACUUAGUGGCGGACGGGUGAGUAACGCGUGAGCAACCUGCCUUUCAGAGGGGGAUAACAUUUGGAAACAGAUGCUAAUACCGCAUAAGAUUACAGUACCGCAUGAUACAGUGAUCAAAGGAGCAAUCCGCUGAAAGAUGGGCUCGCGUCCGAUUAGAUAGUUGGUGAGGUAACGGCUCACCAAGUCGACGAUCGGUAGCCGGACUGAGAGGUUGAACGGCCACAUUGGGACUGAGACACGGCCCAGACUCCUACGGGAGGCAGCAGUGGGGAAUAUUGCACAAUGGGCGAAAGCCUGAUGCAGCAACGCCGCGUGAGGGAAGACGGUUUUCGGAUUGUAAACCUCUGUUUUCGGUGACGAAUAAAUGACGGUAACCGAGUAGGAAGCCACGGCUAACUACGUGCCAGCAGCCGCGGUAAUACGUAGGUGGCAAGCGUUAUCCGGAAUUACUGGGUGUAAAGGGAGCGCAGGCGGGAUAGCAAGUCAGCUGUGAAAACUAUGGGCUCAACCCAUAAACUGCAGUUGAAACUGUUAUUCUUGAGUG